rnacentral:rRNA from 1 species
CCUACGUGAGGCAGCAGUGAGGAAUAUUGGUCAAUGGGCGGAAGCCUGAACCAGCCAAGUAGCGUGCAGGAUGACGGCCCUACGGGUUGUAAACUGCUUUUAUCCGGGAAUAACGCGCCUUACGUGUAGGGCUUUGCAUGUAACUUAUGAAUAAGGACCGGCUAAUUCCGUGCCAGCAGCCGCGGUAAUACGGAAGGUCCGGGCGUUAUCCGGAUUUAUUGGGUUUAAAGGGGGCGUAGGCCGCAUGUCAAGCGUGCUGUGAAAUGUCCGGGCUCAACCCGGGCCUUGCAGCGCGAAAUGGCGUGGAUGAGUCCGCGGAAAGCAGGCGGAAUUCGUCGUGUAGAGGUGAAAUGCUUAGAUAUGACGAAGAACCCCGAUUGCGAAGGCAGCUUGCUGCAGCGGAACUGACGCUGAUGCUCGAAAGCGCGGGUAUCGAACAGGAUUAGAUACCCCAGUAGUC